UACGAAGGGGGGCUAGCGUUGCUCGGAAUCACUGGGCGUAAAGCGCACGUAGGCGGCUUACUAAGUCAGGGGUGAAAUCCUGGAGCUCAACUCCAGAACUGCCUUUGAUACUGGUGAGCUUGAGUCCGGAAGAGGUGAGUGGAACUGCGAGUGUAGAGGUGAAAUUCGUAGAUAUUCGCAAGAACACCAGUGGCGAAGGCGGCUCACUGGUCCGGUACUGACGCUGAGGCACGAAAGCGUGGGGAGCAAACAGG
rnacentral:rRNA from 1 species